rnacentral:rRNA from 1 species
UACGGAGGGUGCGAGCGUUGUCCGGAAUUAUUGGGCGUAAAGGGCUCGUAGGCGGUCCGUCACGUCGGGAGUGAAAUCCUGGGGCUUAACCCCAGAACUGCUUCCGAUACGGGCAGACUAGAGGUAGGUAGGGGAGAAUGGAAUUCCUGGUGUAGCGGUGGAAUGCGCAGAUAUCAGGAGGAACACCAGUGGCGAAGGCGGUUCUCUGGGCCUUACCUGACGCUGAGGAGCGAAAGCGUGGGGAGCAAACAGG